CUACGGGCGGCAGCAGGCGAGAAAACUUUGCAAUGUGCGCAAGCACGACAAGGUUAAUCCGAGUGGUUUCUGCUAAAGGAACCUUUUGACAGUCCUAGAAACACUGUUGAAUAAGGGGUGGGCAAGUUCUGGUGUCAGCCGCCGCGGUAAAACCAGCACCUCAAGUGGUCAGGAUGAUUAUUGGGCCUAAAGCAUCCGUAGCCGGCUCUGUAAGUUUUCGGUUAAAUCUGUACGCUUAACGUACAGGCUGCCGGGAAUACUGCAGAGCUAGGGAGUGGGAGAGGUAGACGGUACUCGGUAGGAAGGGGUAAAAUCCUUUGAUCUAUUGAUGACCACCAGUGGCGAAGGCGGUCUACCAGAACACGUCCGACGGUGAGGGAUGAAAGCUGGGGGAGCAAACCGGAUUAGAUACCCGGGUAGUC
rnacentral:rRNA from 1 species